rnacentral:lncRNA from 1 species
UUUCUUUUCUUUCUUUUUCUUUCUUCUUUUCUUUUCUUUUUCUCUCUUUCUCUCUCUCUCUUUUUCUUUCUUUCACAGUUUUAUACCUUUAUUUGACAAUCAGCGAUUAGUUCUCAUCCACAUUAACAGUCUGUAGAUUUUUGAAAGUGGUGACAGGUACGUAGGUAAUCAGUGUGUAGAGCUUGUUUGGUGAAUCUUCAUCCUUGUGAUGUUUUCUGGACAACCACACAUGGAUACGGUUGGAACAUUCCUUAUUCCUUUGGCCCAGACAGCUUUGUUGAGCCUGGUGUCAAUGCGCACAUCUGGAGUUCCCAUCUCCUUCAUGGCAAAUUUCCGGAUCUCUUUGAGUGCCCGAGGGGCACACUUCUUGAAACCCACUCCAUGGAUACGUUUGUGAAUGCUGAUGGUGUAUUCUCUGGUCACUACCUCGUUGAUGGCAGAACGGCCCUUCUUCUCGACACCCUUCUUUGCGGGAGCCAUUAUGCCAGGCCCUAGUUGGAAAGGAGUCAGCUACUAGUUCUUCAAAUAAAAUUUCUGUCCACUUUUUUCUUUCUCUGAGAAUCAUGUUUUUACAUUUGAUGGAAUCAUUGAGUUUCCUAUAUCUAUUAUUGUUUUGUGUAAUUCUUUUUUCUCUCUUUUGUUCAGCUUGAUUAUUUUCCAUUACUCUGUCUUCUAGGUCAUUAAUUCAUUCCUCUACUUCUUCCAAAUUGCUAUUUGUUGCAUCAAGCAUGUUUCUGACCUUGCUUGCUGCAUUCUUCAUCUGUUUAUUUCUUCUUUAUCUAUGUUAAGGGUCUCAUUUAUGUCUUCCGCUCUUUUCUCAAGACUGGAAGUGAUAGUCCCUAUGAUCAUUGCUUUCAAUAUUCCAUCAAACAUGUUACUUUUUUUUUUUUUGCUUAGAUCUCUGGUUGUGGCCUUGUCUUGUUCUUACAUUUGAGACACAUUCUUCUGUCUUCUCAUUUUGUCUCUCUGUGCCUGUUUCUCUGUGUUAAGAAAGUCAUCUACAUUUCCUGUUACUGAAGUAAUAGCCUUAUGAAGAAUAGGUCCUGUAAAAAAAAAAAAAAAAAAAAAAAGAUAGGUCCUGUAGUACCCUGCCAUGUAGUGUCCUUUGUUCCCCAGGGCCUGAUGCUUCCAGAAGUGUCUCUAGUGUGUUCUGUGUGUGAACUGUUUUGUCCUGGUCACUUUAUACUUCAGGCCAGUCAUCUGAAGAGGCUCUCUGCCUGUUGUGGGCAGUAUUUGGUCCUGGAGUUAAUGUGUCAUGUUUUUUGUUUUGUUUUGUUUUGUGUUUAAUUUUUAUUUAUUUAUGAUAGUCACAGAGAGAGAGAGAGAGAGGCAGAGACAAAGGCAGAGGGAGAAGCAGGCUCCAUGCACCGGGAGCCCGACGUGGGAUUCGAUCCCGGGUCUCCAGGAUCGCGCCCUGGGCCAAAGGCAGGCGCCAAACCGCUGCGCCACCCAGGGAUCCCAAUGUGUCAUGUUUUAACGAGGUUUGCUCUGUUCUGUUUGUGAAAUGAGACACUUGCUACUGCUGACAGAAUCAAAGCUCUGCAAAACUCCUAGGUUGGAAAACAAGGCAUUGGCAGGUGUUUAGGCCCAUCUUCUGGGGAAGGAGGCCUGACAUGCUGGGACUGAGGCAGGCAUGACUGGAACAGGAGCUUUCACUAGAGUAGGGGGUGAAGCUUGGCGUAAGCAAGUUAGGUAGCAAAUGUAGGUAUUGUGCUGGCUUCCACUUGUGGUUAUAUGUUUAUGCCAAGAGAUAUGGGAGGGAAAUGGUGCCUGCCAGUUCCUUUGCUCCUUGAGGGGCUUCUCUCAGAAUGCUGCCUCUGUGGGACAUGCUCUGAGAUGAGCAAAUAUAACCUCCCCAAUGUGUGCCCCAGGUGCUCUUUAGAUCACUGUUUCCACACUUGUGUGUCCUGGGCUAUUUGCUUGCCUUCUUUCCAAGAGUAGUGCAAUGCUCAGUAGUUUCCCUGAGCCAUGCCUAAACGACCUUUAGAACUCCAGACCUUAAGCUCUGCUGGUUGCCAGAACUCACAAAAUUUGGUUCCUCUUGCUCUUCAAGCCAACUGCUAUCAGGAUUCAUUUACCCCAUGCACUCAUAUCUGUUAGUUUCUCACCCUUCUUUAGGACUGCAGCUUCUUUUCCAUGAAUGCAUUUCACUCCCCCUGCAGUGGCCAUGAUCUGUUUCUCUCCCAAACCAUGUCUCCCCACUUCCUACCUUCUUCAAUGUGGCAUCUUCUCUACCUUUAGUUGUGGAAUUUGUAUUUAGGAUGCUUUGAUAGUGAUCUAGUAUUUGUGGGAGAGGUGAGCUUGGGGUCCUCCUACUCCACCACCAUCUUCUCAUUCUUUAUCAAUAAUUACUUUAAAUGUAAAUGGCAAAAAAAAAUGUAAAUGGCCUAAAUACUCCAAUCAAAAGACACAGGGUGGCGGAAUGGAUUAAAAAGCAAGACCCACUUAUAUGCUCCCUAGAAGAGACUUACCUUAUACUUACACAUACAGACUGAAAGUAAAGGGAUGGAAAACAUUUACUAUGCACAUGGAAGCAAGAUACGCUGGGUUAGUAAUGCUUUUACAAAAUAGACUUUAAAACAAAGACUAUUACAAGAGACAGAGGAGGGCAUUACAUAAUGAUAAGGGGAUCAAUCCAAUAAGAAUGUAAAUAUCCACAUACCCAACACAGAAGCACCUAAAUACAUAAAUAUUAACACACAUAGAAAUUAAUGGUAAUGCAAUAAUAAUACAGGACUUUAACAUCUCACAUCAAAUGAUAAAUCAUCCAGGCAGAAAAUCAGUGAAGAAAUAAUAUCUUUUAAUGGCACAUUAGACCAGAUAGACAUAAGAUAUAUACAGAACAUCCCAUUAAAAACCAACAGAGUAUGAUAUGGAACACUCUUCAAAAUAGGUCACACAUUAGACCACAAAACAAGCUGCAAUAAGUUUAGAAAGACUGAAAUCAUACCAUGCAUUUUUUCUGAUCAGAAUAGUAUGAACCUAGCAAUAGACCACAAGGAAAAAAAGCUAGAAAAAAACAAAACACAAACAUGGAAACUAAACAACACAAUAUCAACCAAUGGGUCAAAGAAAUAAAGAAGAUAAACUACAUGGAGACAAAACAUAAUGGUCUCAAGUCUUUCGGACAAAGUGAAAGUUCUGAGAGGGAAUUAUAAAGCAAUGCACGCCCACCUCAAGAAACAAGAUAAAGCUCAAAUGAAUAAUCUAAACUUAAACAUAAAGAAACUAGAAAAGAAGAAAAAAGCCCAAUGUGAGUAGAAAAAAGGAAAUAAAGAUCAGAGCAGAAAUAAAUGACAUAAAGAAAAAAAAAAUCACUGAAACCCAAAAGCUGGUUCUUUGAACAAGAUAAACAAAAUUGAUUAAGCCAGACUUAUCAAGAAAAAAAAGAGAAAGAGUCCAAAUAAAUAUAAUCAGAUAUGAGAGUAAAGUUACAAUUCACACCAUAGAAAUUCAAAGAAUUUUAAGAGAAUACUGUGAAAGUAUAUGCCAACAAAUUGGAUAACCUUCAAGAAAUAAAUUCUUAGAAAUAUACAGUUUUCCCAAACUGAACCAGGUAGAAAUAGAAAACCCAAACAGUCCAAUGACAAGUAAUAAAACUGAACUAGUAAUAAAAAAAUUACCAAAAUGUAAUAGUCCGGGACCAAAAUGAUUCACAGGUGAAUUCUAUCCAAACAUUUAAGUAAGAGUUAAUACCUGUUUUCCUCAAAUGACUCCAAGAAAUCUAAGAGGGAGCUCUUUCAAAUAUAUUUUUUGAGGCCAGCAUUAUUCUGAUACUAAAACCAAAGAGCACAAAGGAGAAAACUAAAAAAAAAAAAAAAAAAAAAGAGAGAGAGAGAGAGAAAGAGAGAACAGGCCAGUAUCUCUGAUGAACAUAUAUGUAAAAAUCCUCAACAAAAUAUUAGAAAGAUGCAUACAACAAUAAAUUAAAAAGAUGAUUCACCAUGAUCAAGUGGAAUUUAUUUUGAGAAUCCAAGGAUGGUUUGGUAUUUGCAAAUCAUUCAACGUGAUAUAGAUAGAUCAACAAAGGAUAAAAUCACAUGGUCUUCUCAAUACAUGCAGAAAAAGCAUUUGCCAAAAGGCUACAUUCAUAAUAAAAUCUCUCAACAAAGUGGGGUUAGAGGGAACAUAUGUCAACAUAAUAAAAAUUAUAUGCAAAAAACCUACAACUAACAUCAUACACAAUGCUGAAAAAGUUGAGAGCUUUUCCUUUAAGAUCAGGAAGACAAGGAUGUCUCCUCUUUCCACUUUUAUUCAACAUAUAGUGGAACUCCCAGCCACAGCAAUUUGACAAGAAAAAAAACAGCUACCUGUAUUGGUAAAUAAAUUAAACUGUUACGAUUUGCAGAUAACACUAUAAUGUACAUUAAAAAGCCUGAAGAAUCUACAAAAGACCUACUGUAACUAAUAAAUGAAGUCAGUAAAGUUGCAGGAUACUUAUUACCCAGAGGUCAGUAGCAUUUCUGUACACCAAUAAAGAAUU